rnacentral:rRNA from 1 species
AUGAACGCUGGCGGCGUGCCUAAUACAUGCAAGUCGAGCGAACAGAUGAGGAGCUUGCUCCUCUGACGUUAGCGGCGGACGGGUGAGUAACACGUGGAUAACCUACCUAUAAGACUGGGAUAACUUCGGGAAACCGGAGCUAAUACCGGAUAAUAUAUUGAACCGCAUGGUUCAAUAGUGAAAGACGGUUUUGCUGUCACUUAUAGAUGGAUCCGCGCCGCAUUAGCUAGUUGGUAAGGUAACGGCUUACCAAGGCAACGAUGCGUAGCCGACCUGAGAGGGUGAUCGGCCACACUGGAACUGAGACACGGUCCAGACUCCUACGGGAGGCAGCAGUAGGGAAUCUUCCGCAAUGGGCGAAAGCCUGACGGAGCAACGCCGCGUGAGUGAUGAAGGUCUUCGGAUCGUAAAACUCUGUUAUUAGGGAAGAACAAAUGUGUAAGUAACUAUGCACGUCUUGACGGUGCCUAAUCAGAAAGCCACGGCUAACUACGUG